rnacentral:misc_RNA from 1 species
UAUUUAACUGGUAUAGUUCGGCAAAAAAAUACCAAGUAAUUGGAGUUUAUUGUAGAUUGGAGAGAGAUAGAUUCUUCCACUUUACAUAGAUUUAUCAUCAGUACAACAAAAAGAGAAAUAAAUUAAAAUACUUUUCUACAUUUGCAUAUAUAAAUGAAAAUCUGGACAUAUUUUGGAUAAUGCUGAUCCAAUAAGUCUACCCCAGGCAGAACCAAUUAAAAGCGAUGGAAUAAAAAGUCCACUGGACAUAGAUAAUCCAAAUGUAAAAACAGCUAGGAAAAAAUAAAGUAUAAUAAAAACAGCUAAGGUAAUAUCAUUGUGGGAACCUAUGAAAAAAGAAAGAAUAUAAAUAUUCUAGCAUUCCAAAAGUUAAUUAUAAAAUAUGUUAUAUUGUUAUGAUGUACCUUUAGGGUCAUGAAAUAAAGAUCUUACACUACUUUCUGGUGUUUGAAACCAUAA